CGGGGCGAGCGGUUGGGGGCGGAGCUCGGCGAACUCCUGAGGCGGGGCCAGACGAGGAGGCGGGGCUUCUAUGGAGUUCGUACAGUUUACAAACCCAGCAUGAGGAAAUUGAGGAUUAGAGAAGAGACUUGCCCAAGUUGAAGAGAGAACCAAGACUGGACCUCAGGACCUUUCAUUGUAAAACCCAUUUGCCUCCCGGGGACUUGGGGUUUGAAUCAGAUCAUGUUCCUCUUCCUAGACUCCUACUCUAUAAUUCUAUUAGUGCAUCCCCUCUCUCUUCAAGGUUGUCUAAUCCACUGUGUAUGCUUAAAUUGUCAAUGCAGAGCCAACAAUCUAGCUGGGAAGGGCUUGGGCCAUAAACCAUCAAAGAUUGAAAGAAUCUAAGCGAUUGGUCCAAUCCAAUCAUUUAAAAAAUUAUUUUUAGUGUGAAAUAUACAUACAGAAGUGUAUAAAACACAUUUAUCUUAAACAAUAAAGAACAACUGUGCAACUAGUA